rnacentral:lncRNA from 1 species
AUUCACAUAAUUUUUAUGUAAUAGCAUCUUAUGAUUUCAGAUAGAUAAAAGUUAAUGCUCAUUAUCAUAGGCCUGAUACACAUUAUUGGAUUUUGAAUGUGUAUUCCAAACAGAUCCUGUUUUAGAGCUAAAAAUAUUUAAAGCUAAUAAAUAUAAAACGUUUUUUGAAAAAAUUAUGUUGAAGCUCUUUACACAACCAUUUUAUUCUACUUUCUGUCAAAGCUUAUGUGCUUCCAAGGGAGUACAGUAAUUUGUGCAUUUUCUAUUUUUAAAUCUUUCAUUGUUCUAGUUAAAUAUUAUGAGUGUAUGCCAAUUCCUAAAAGAGUCAUGCAGAGAUAGUAGGUGCAAUUGUGUUGUACUCAAAAUAAAGUUCAUGGCUAAAGCAAAUAUUUAACAACUGUCAAAUACUGGGUUGCAUGUAGAAAAACUAAUCCUGUAUAGCUCUCAUAAAUUAAAACUUUAAACUAAACCUUCCUUCUGUGCUUUGUAAUUAGAAAACCAAAUGAGGAACUUUUCUGGGCAGCCCGGUUUAAGAAACCCACCUGUUUUCUCUUUUUAAAAAUAUAUUUUUGAAGUUAAUAUGUUUAAGUAAAGGAUUUCAAUGGCUCAGAAAACUGGAAUUGAAUUGUACACUAAAGAAUAACCCUCUCACAUUAAAUAUGACUAUGCAUAUUUGUGAUAUAUUGCAAUUUGAUAACUGGUUUAGGAGGCAUUAAUUAUAAAUAAGGUGAACUGAAAAAGAAUCAAGCACAGGUUAUGCAAAGAAGACAUCACCUGCAGAAUGGCAACCAUCCCCGUAGACCACCCAUCAAGGCUCGCGUCCAAUGACCUUUGUAUUUUCUCCACAUCAGCCACCCACCAUCAUGGCUUCAUCCAGGCCUUUGUCUAUAUCCAGCUGACAAGCUAUACUAAAAUAUUAAAUUCAGGCAUUGAGCUCUCUAAUCACCAGUCCCAUUCUAUUAGCCUCACCACAUCUAUCUUCAGUCAUUCAAGGACAUUUUGUCUCUUGAUUCCUCUCUUGUCUCCCUAUUACUACCACCUCGAUCCAAAUUAAAUUCCAUGUUACAUUAUUUCAAAAACUUGCUUCCUAAUUCCUCAACCCUCUUCUCCUACUGUCCUUCAGUCUGAGUACUUGAAAAACCCAGCCUUGGCUCAAUCUAACUCUUCAUCUAUUCUGAAAUAAUACCUAUAUUGCUCAGUGCCUCUGGAGAAAUAUCAUACCAACUUGCAGAUUGGUGUCAGCCUAAAUGAAGAAUUUUCAAACUCAAGUGGGUUUUCAAAGAGUUCUGACAAUCCUAUUGUUUCCAAAUAUUCAGAAGCAUCUCUUUUCUUCUUAAAUCUGCAGUCUCAUCACUCACUCUAACUUUCAUCAAGUGACCUUGCUUUCACCUUCACAAGGAAAAGAGAAGCCAUCAAAGAAGAAUAGCCUCAAUCUCCUGUUCAGAUUACAGACUUCCCUGCAUGCCCACCAUACUUCCCUCCUUCCCUCCAAGGACUAAGAAACAGUCUCUUCUGUCUAAGCCUAGCCCUUCUAUAAGGGGGAUCCUAUUUCCUCUCACCUUCUUGGGGGACCAUGCUCAAGUCGCCAGCUUCUUUUUCUACGAUAUCCUCAAUCUCUCUUUCCAUACUGACUUAUUCUCACAAAUAAUGAAAUGAUCAAGUCUUCUCAAGAUAAAAGGAAAAAAAUAAAAACUUUCUGGAUGUUUCUCUGUGGGCCCUACCCCUUCCCUCUGCACCUUUUGAUAGCUAACCUUUCUGAAAGAAUACUCAUCAUUUCCUUUCCCUCACCUCCCAUUCAUUCUUAAUCAAUCUGUAAUCUGGCUUCUGUCUCCACCACACCACUGAAAGGACCCUCACCAAAGUCACAAAUGACCAUUGUGUCAAUCAAGAUUCCAGCAGUAAAGAGAUGGGACAUUCAAGUUUGAAAAGAAUAUAAUAAACAGACUACUAAAAGCCACUGAUAGACUAUAGUGAAACUUCAAGGUAUUGUGCAAUUCUCCAGAGCUAAUAAAUGCAGGAAGCUCUUUCUCACCCUCACCCAAAAGGAGGGGGGCAGAGAGAACUGCCUGAAAGGACCAGUGACAUUAAAUCAAGGAAUGCACAGCCUGCAGCAAAUGCACAGAGAAGAAGCUGGUGAAAAUAUCCCCAUUGAUUCUCUUCCCUUUGCCCUCCUUCUCAUCUCCUGCCAGUCCUCACCAUUGGUCUAAUUCAAACAGAAGACAGAAUGCAAUCCCCGGGUUCACAUAGGCUGCAUCAUAGAUGGUGUUAUACUUCUCUCUGAAGUUUUAUCUUUAUUCUGAGGGCAACGAUAAGCCACAGAAUAUUCUUAAACAGCAGAGUGAUAGGCAGAAGUUGUGUUUUAGAGAGAGUAAUCUUCCUGCUGUGUAUGGGAUAAACCAAAAGAGAGGAGAACUUGGAAGUUGGGAAAACAAUUUUGAAGAAUGAACAAAUUCGGGCAACAGGUGAUACUUUAUAAGAAUGCAAAGAAAGAUACAGCUAUGGGAGCUGUUUGGAGAAUAAGAAGGGCAACACGUGGACAUUAAGGGCAAAGUAGAAGAAGUAAAACAUAACUAAGAUUUUGAUCCUGGUAACUAAAAAAGUUAGUUCUGUCACUUACCAGAAUAGGGAAGUUGGAAAGGGGAAUUAAUUUGAGGGAGACAUAAAAAGAAAUUAGAGACUGCAAUGAGGUCAUAACGUCUAAGUAGAAAUGUUCUAAGAAAUGAGCUAUAGAAUGAGACUGAAAUGUCUCUGUGGUUUCUCAAGGGACAACACCUUUUUUCUGACCCUAAACCGUGUUCUGGCACCAAGAGAAGCACUCUAGAAUCUGAGUUCUUUCUGUGAGCUGCUGCCUAAAUUCAGAGUCCUAGAGAAGACUAUUAAUGAUGGUACACAGAAGACAGAGAGAGAUAAACUGCAUCAGUUUCUUUAUGUGCAGGAGGACCUACAUGAUCUUAGAAGAGAACCGACCUUUUAAAACCUCAUUUCAACCUCAACGUAUGACCUCAGAGAAACUCAUUUGCUCUCUGGAAAGUUUUUAAGAUUUACAACAGAGGAAAAAAAAUCCUUCAGCUUGGGCAAGUUCUGAUGCAACAUAAAAGUAAUGCUGUUAAAAUUUCAAUCAUUGCCAUGGUUUAGCAGUGUGUUCACAUCAACCACAUGUACCCAGAAAGUCUGUCAACUCAGCAAUAACCAAGAAUUCUGCUUAUUACUCUCACUACAAAAAUCCAUGAAUUAAAUUAUAACUGUUUGCAUUUGAACGUGUGUAAUCACAUUUUUACAUUAUGCUCUUUUAAAAGAACCGUUUAUCUUGUGCUUGUUUCACAAACUUAAAAAUCAAGGAUUCUUUCUUUAUGGGCUGAUGGAAAUAUUCUAAAGUCAGACUGUGGUGAUAUUUCACAACUUUUUAAAUUUAUAAAAAUCAUCGAAUUGUACACUUAAAAUGAGGCAAUUUUGUGGGAUGCAAAUUAUGAAUCAAUAAAGCUGC